rnacentral:rRNA from 1 species
UCAGGCCUACGGGAGGCAGCAGUGAGGAAUAUUGGUCAAUGGCCGAGAGGCUGAACCAGCCACGUCGCGUGAGGGAUGACGGCCCUACGGGUUGUAAACCUCUUUUGCCGGGGAGCAAAUAGUGGUACGUGUACCGCAUCGAGAGUACCCGGAGAAAAAGCAUCGGCUAACUCCGUGCCAGCAGCCGCGGUAAUACGGAGGAUGCGAGCGUUAUCCGGAUUUAUUGGGUUUAAAGGGUGCGCAGGCGGCGAGUUAAGUCAGCGGUAAAAUUUCGGGGCUCAACCCCGACGAGCCGUUGAAACUGG